rnacentral:rRNA from 1 species
UACGUAGGUGGCGAGCGUUGUCCGGAUUUACUGGGCGUAAAGCGCGCGCAGGCGGUCCGGUAAGUCUCCGGUGAAAUCGCCCGGCUCAACUGGGCGGGUGCCGGGGAGACUGGCGGACUUGAGGAGCCUAGAGGCCGGUGGAACUCCCGGUGUAGUGGUGAAAUGCGUAGAGAUCGGGAAGAACACCAGUGGCGAAGGCGGCCGGCUGGGGGUGUCCUGACGCUGAGGCGCGAGAGCGUGGGAGCAAACCGG